rnacentral:rRNA from 1 species
GUAGGUGGCAAGCGUUGUCCGGAAUUAUUGGGCGUAAAGCGCGCGCAGGCGGUUCUUUAAGUCUGAUGUGAAAGCCCACGGCUCAACCGUGGAGGGUCAUUGGAAACUGGAGAACUUGAGUACAGAAGAGGAAAGCGGAAUUCCACGUGUAGCGGUGAAAUGCGUAGAGAUGUGGAGGAACACCAGUGGCGAAGGCGGCUUUCUGGUCUGAAACUGACGCUGAGGCGCGAAAGCGUGGGGAGCAAACAGGAUUAGAUACCCUGGUAGUCCACGCCGUAAACGAUGAGUGCUAAGUGUUAGGGGGGUUUCCGCCCCCCUUAGUGCUGCAGCUAACGCAUUAAGCACUCCGCCUGGGAGUACGGCCGCAAGGCUG